CCCUUAGAUGUCCGGGGCCGCACGCGCGCUACACUGAAGGAAUCAGCGUGGCUUUCUCCCUGACCCGAAAGGGUUGGGAAACCCGUUGAAUCUCCUUCGUGAUAGGGAUUGGGGCUUGAAAUUGUUCCCCAUGAACGAGGAAUUCCCAAUAAGCGCGAGUCAUAAGCUCGCGUUGAUUACGUCCCUGCCCUUUGUACACACCGCCCGUCGCUACUACCGAUUGAACGGUUUAGUGAGGGCCUCGGAUUGGUCUCGGCCCGCUCUUUACCGGGCGGCGCCGUUGGUCGAGAAGACGCUCGAACUUGAUCGUUUAGAGGAAGUAAAAGUCGUAACA
rnacentral:rRNA from 1 species